rnacentral:rRNA from 1 species
UACAGAGGGUGCAAGCGUUGCUCGGAAUCAUUGGGCGUAAAGGGUAGGUAGGUGGUCUCAUUUGUCGGGGGUGAAAGCCUUGGGCUUAACCCAAGAAGUGCCCCCGAAACGGUGAGACUCGAGUAUUGGAGAGGCAAGUGGAAUUCCCGGUGUAGCGGUGAAAUGCGUAGAGAUCCGGAAGAACACCGGUGGCGAAGGCGGCCUGCUGGACCAUAACUGACACUCAGGGACGAAAGCUAGGGGAGCGAAUGGG